GCUAGAAAACUGCAAGCCUCAGAAGGCUUGCGACUUGCCAACAAACUAAAGAAAGCUCACAUAAACUGGAAGCCACAGAAAAUGAAGAUGCUAGAUUAUACAGAUGAGGAAAAAGCAAUGGACACUGGUAUCAAAUGUGUAUAAAAUUUGUUUUUGUUUUGAAAACUGAAAAUCACUCAAAUAGUUCAAUUGCAUUCAAAACAGGUCAGGAAACU